rnacentral:tRNA from 1 species
CAAAGUGUAGCUUAUAUAAAAGUACCUGACUUACACUCAGAAGAAUUCAUACAACUGAACACUUUGA